GACCCAGUGGUGAAAUGAAUCAUGCCUGCAUCCUAUCCCCAGUUCUCUAUAUCGGAAGCAGGUGUCCCCGGUUCGAUUCCGGGCUAGGUCA